UUUGAACACUGUUAGAGCUCUGCGUUGGGCCACUGACUGGUCGAUGAACUCACAAGUGUGGGCAGGGUGCCAUGUGAGGGGCAAGUCUUUCGCUAACACCACAGGGGUCUCUGGGCCAGGUAGUGGAGUUUGAUAGUAAUUCUUACUACAAAU
ensembl:snoRNA SNORA62 Small nucleolar RNA SNORA62/SNORA6 family